rnacentral:rRNA from 1 species
CCUACGUGAGGCAGCAGUGGGGGAUAUUGCACAAUGGGGGGAACCCUGAUGCAGCGACGCCGCGUGGGUGAAGAAGCGCCUCGGCGCGUAAAGCCCUGUCAGCAGGGAAGAAAAUGACGGUACCUGAAGCAGAAGCCCCGGCUAACUACGUGCCAGCAGCCGCGGUAAGACGUAGGGGGCAAGCGUUAUCCGGAUUUACUGGGUGUAAAGGGGGCGCAGACGGCGGUGCAAGCCAGGAGUGAAAGCCCGGGGCCCAACCCCGGGACUGCUCUUGGAACUGCGUGGCUGGAGUGCAGGAGGGGCAGGCGGAAUUCCUGGUGUAGCGGUGACAUGCGUAGAUAUCAGGAGGAACACCGGUGGCGAAGGCGGCCUGCUGGACUGCAACUGACGUUGAGGCCCGAAAGCGUGGGGAGCAAACAGGAUUAGAUACCCCUGUAGUC